UGGGGAAUUUUGGACAAUGGGCGAAAGCCUGAUCCAGCAAUGCCGCGUGUGUGAAGAAGGCCUUCGGGUUGUAAAGCACUUUUGUCCGGAAAGAAAUCCUCUGGGUUAAUACCUCGGGGGGAUGACGGUACCGGAAGAAUAAGCACCGGCUAACUACGUGCCAGCAGCCGCGGUAAUACGUAGGGUGCAAGCGUUAAUCGGAAUUACUGGGCGUAAAGCGUGCGCAGGCGGUUUUGUAAGACGGAUGUGAAAUCCCCGGGGCUUAACCUGGGAACUGCAUUCGUGACUGCAAGGCUAGAGUAUGGCAGAGGGGGGUUAGAAUUCCACGUGUAGCAGUGAAAUGCGUAGAGAUGUGGAGGAAUACCGAUGGCGAAGGCAGCCCCCUGGGCCAAUACUGACGCUCAUGCACGAAAGCGUGGGGAGCAAACAGGAUUAGAUACCCUGGUAGUCCACGCCCUAAACGAUGUCAACUAGUUGUUGGGGAUUCAUUUCCUUAGUAACGUAGCUAACGCGUGAAGUUGACCGCCUGGGGAGUACGGUCGCAAGAUUAAAACUUAAAGGAAUUGACGGGGUCAUAGCUGUUUCCU
rnacentral:rRNA from 1 species